CUGGCUCAGGAUGAACGCUGGCGGCGUGCAUAACACAUUCAAGUCGAACGGUGAAGUCCCUCGGGGGCGGAACAGUGGCGGACGGGUGAGUAACGCGUGAGCAACCUGCCGUAUAGUGGGGGAUAACACAGGGAAACUUGUGCUAAUACCGCAUGACACAAGGGGAUCGCAUGGUUUCCUUGUCAAAGAUUUAUUGCUGUACGAUGGGCUCGCGUAUGAUUAGACAGUUGGCAGGGUAACGGCCUACCAAAUCAACGAUCAUUAGCCGAACUGAGAGGUUGAACGGCCACAUUGGAACUGAGAAACGGUCCAGACUCCUACGGGAGGCAGCAGUGGGGAAUAUUGGGCAAUGGGCGAAAGCCUGAACCCCAGCGACGCCGCGUGAGGGAAGAAGGUCUUCGGAUUGUAAACCUCUUUCAGCAGGGAAGAAAAGAUGACGGUACCUGCAGAAGAAGUCACGGCUAACUACGUGCCAGCCGCCGC
rnacentral:rRNA from 1 species